rnacentral:misc_RNA from 1 species
UACGGAGGGGGCGAGCGUUAAUCGGAAUUACUGGGCGUAAAGCGCGCGUAGGCGGUGUGAUAAGCCGGGCGUGAAAGCCCCGGGCUCAACCUGGGAACGGCAUUCGGAACUGUGAGGCUAGAGUGCAGGAGAGGAAGGUAGAAUUCCCGGUGUAGCGGUGAAAUGCGUAGAGAUCUGGAGGAAUACCAGUGGCGAAGGCGGCCUUCUGGACUGACACUGACGCUGAGGUGCGAAAGCGUGGGUAGCAAACAGG